UCCUGGUUUUUGCAUGCCGGGAUUUAAAAUACAAUCAGUAAAAGUCUUGGUUUUUAAUGAUAUUUAAACGUAAUCGUAAGCGCGCCGAUGACUUAUGGUUUAUCUAAUAAACAUCCGAUAAUAAGAAGAUAAGACGCACAGACGUGCAAUUGUACACAUUCAUGAGAUAAAUUUUCUAUGUUAAACGUAUAUAUUCGAAUUAUUUUAGUAGACAACCAAAAAAGUUAUAAAUUUAUUAAUUAAUGCA
rnacentral:lncRNA from 1 species